rnacentral:tRNA from 13 species
UACGGACUUAAAAUCCGUCGACUUUAAAAAUCGUGAGGGUUCAAGUCCCUCUAUCCCCA